UGGGGAAUAUUGGGCAAUGGGCGAAAGCCUGACCCAGCGACGCCGCGUGGGGGAUGAAGGCCUUCGGGUUGUAAAGCCCUUUCGUGCGGAAAGAACAGCCCUGUAGUUAAUACCUGCAGGGUUUGACGGUACCGCAGGAAGAAGCACCGGCUAACUCCGUGCCAGCAGCCGCGGUAAUACGGAGGGUGCAAGCGUUGUUCGGAAUUUUUGGGCGUAAAGGGCGCGUAGGUGGUUGUGAUAGUCAGAUGUGAAAUCCUUUGGCUUAA
rnacentral:rRNA from 1 species